UGGUGGGUAGUUUGACUGGGGCGGUCUCCUCCCAAAGCGUAACGGAGGAGCACGAAGGUUAGCUAAUCCUGGUCGGACAUCAGGAGGUUAGUGCAAUGGCAUAAGCUAGCUUGACUGCGAGCGUGACGGCGCGAGCAGGUGCGAAAGCAGGUCAUAGUGAUCCGGUGGUUCUGAAUGGAAGGGCCAUCGCUCAACGGAUAAAAGGUACUCCGGGGAUAACAGGCUGAUACCGCCCAAGAGUUCAUAUCGACGGCGGUGUUUGGCACCUCGAUGUCGGCUCAUCACAUCCUGGGGCUGAAGUAGGUCCCAAGGGUAUGGCUGUUCGCCAUUUAAAGUGGUACGCGAGCUGGGUUUAGAACGUCGUGAGACAGUUCGGUCCCUAUCUGCCGUGGGCGCUGGAGAAUUGAGGGGGGCUGCUCCUAGUACGAGAGGACCGGAGUGGACGCAUCACUGGUGUUCGGGUUGUCAUGCCAAUGGCACUGCCCGGUAGCUAAAUGCGGAAGAGAUAAGUGCUGAAAGCAUCUAAGCACGAAACUUGCCCCGAGAUGAGUUCUCCCUGAGACUUUAAGUCUCCUGAAGGAACGUUGAAGACGACGACGUUGAUAGGCCGGGUGUGUAAGCGCAGCGAUGCGUUGAGCUAACCGGUACUAAUGAACCGUGAGGCUUAACCUU
rnacentral:rRNA from 4 species